rnacentral:rRNA from 1 species
AACGAACGCUGGCGGCAUGCCUAACACAUGCAAGUCGAACGAGACCUUCGGGUCUAGUGGCGCACGGGUGCGUAACGCGUGGGAAUCUGCCCUUGGGUUCGGAAUAACAGUUGGAAACGACUGCUAAUACCGGAUGAUGACGUAAGUCCAAAGAUUUAUCGCCCAAGGAUGAGCCCGCGUAGGAUUAGCUAGUUGGUGAGGUAAAGGCUCACCAAGGCGACAAUCCUUAGCUGGUCUGAGAGGAUGAUCAGCCACACUGGGACUGAGACACGGCCCAGACUCCUACGGGAGGCAGCAGUGGGGAAUAUUGGACAAUGGGCGAAAGCCUGAUCCAGCAAUGCCGCGUGAGUGAUGAAGGCCUUAGGGUUGUAAAGCUCUUUUACCCGGGAUGAUAAUGACAGUACCGGGAGAAUAAGCGCCGGCUAACUCCGUG